GAGAGCUGUCCCUGCAAGCUGAACUAUCAGAAGAUGAAGAAUGAGGUCUCCCUGAAAUGCCCACCAUAAGACUGCCAGAUAUGGGACUGCUGGAUGACACUCUGGCUACCCCACUGAGUUUUAUGAAAACAUAACAGAAUAAAGACACUUACUUGUCAACUCAGUUACAAGCUAUUGAGGCACUCCAGAGUGACGGCAUGUGAUCCCCCUGACACAAGAAACAGGCCCAGAUAACACACCGUUCAGACCGACAGCAGUUCUGGUUAUGCUGCAGUACAUCAGAAGAGUGCUCUUAUCCAUCCACAGUUCUUAUCACAGUUACUUAUGCAUAUAUUCAUUUUUUAUAUAAAAGAAUCUUGAAUCGGUCACUUAAAUAUUGAAUCUCAAUAAUAAAAAAUACUAAAAG